AUAACGGUCCUAAGGUAGCGAAAUUCCUUGUCGGGUAAGUUCCGACCUGCACGAAUGGCGUAAUGAUGGCCAGGCUGUCUCCACCCGAGACUCAGUGAAAUUGAACUCGCUGUGAAGAUGCAGUGUACCCGCGGCAAGACGGAAAGACCCCGUGAACCUUUACUAUAGCUUGACACUGAACAUUGAGCCUUGAUGUGUAGGAUAGGUGGGAGGCUUUGAAGUGUGGACGCCAGUCUGCAUGGAGCCGACCUUGAAAUACCACCCUUUAAUGUUUGAUGUUCUAACGUGGACCCGUAAUCCGGGUUGCGGACAGUGUCUGGUGGGUAGUUUGACUGGGGCGGUCUCCUCCUAAAGAGUAACGGAGGAGCACGAAGGUUGGCUAAUCCUGGUCGGACAUCAGGAGGUUAGUGCAAUGGCAUAAGCCAGCUUGACUGCGAGCGUGACGGCGCGAGCAGGUGCGAAAGCAGGUCAUAGUGAUCCGGUGGUUCUGAAUGGAAGGGCCAUCGCUCAACGGAUAAAAGGUACUCCGGGGAUAACAGGCUGAUACCGCCCAAGAGUUCAUAUCGACGGCGGUGUUUGGCACCUCGAUGUCGGCUCAUCACAUCCUGGGGCUGAAGUAGGUCCCAAGGGUAUGGCUGUUCGCCAUUUAAAGUGGUACGCGAGCUGGGUUUAGAACGUCGUGAGACAGUUCGGUCCCUA
rnacentral:rRNA from 1 species